CUCACUUACAAACCCUAACCCUACAAGAGAACAUAUACUAACCCUUGGAUCCAAUCCAACGGUUCUCAUCAUCUACAUUGUCCUAUAAAUACUAUCCCUAACCCCACACUACCAACCGAGGUCCGCCGCCACCCACCUCUUCUUCUAGCUGAAAACCUAGCCCACAAUUCGUUCGCUGUGCUAACCUCGAUGCUACCAACCAUACCACUCAAGUCAGCCUCCUCUCCAGUAUUGCCGCCGCGUCUUCUUCCACAACUCAUCAUUUUUCCUCCUAUUGAUCGGAUCUAGUGUCAAACUCUCCGGAGAAGUCGUCAAACCCCUUACAGACACAUCUCCCCCUAAAUUGCUGAUCUGUCGGGCUAGAGAGGUCGCCGGUCGGCGAACCCUAAAGAUCGGCCCAUGCGUUGACAUUCAUGGUUCUAUCAAAUCGGCAGAGGAUUCGUGCCACGCUAUGGUGCAAGUUGCGCCCCAAAUUGUGUUGCAGGGGAGGCCGUGGUACGCUAUGAGAUGGUUCGAAUUAGCUAGUCGUGACGCGAAUUUCGAUUUGGAUCAUGUGGCAGGUCUUGUGUAUGGUACUAGUAGAUUCAGUAUUUGGCCUGAUUGAACUGUGGAGAACAUUUAUUGAUGUAGAUAGAUACUGGUAUAUAAUUUUACUACUUGUAGUAUGGGCGUAUCUCUGGCUAGCAGCUCUGUACUCUGCAGGGUACUGGGAAUUGUGGUGGACUCUUUUGGGAGGAUACACGAGCUGCAUGUGUCUCCAUAUGCUUUAUUUAGCACGUUUGCUGUAGUCUGAUGUGAAUUGUCUUCAGGGCAGAUGCUAAUUCCAGAGAUUUGAAACCUGUAAGGUCUACAGUAGGCUUGUUCUGUUCAUCUGGGGAUUUUCAGCCUUUUGAUUCAAGACCUACCUGUAAGGUUUGAGCUUUGAUUUGUCAAAAGCUUAAACCUUAUUCAGCAAUGAUGAAGUGGAUAGGCACAAGUAUCAAAGUUUACAUAGGGAUAGGGGGUGCAGGGAGCUAUUUUAUUUUUUGUAUGGUUUUAACUAGUACUAAUCUCGAUCCCAUCUGUGAAUCUUGAUAGGAGCAAAAGAUGUAGGUUUCCAAAGGUUUUUGAAAGUGUGCCAAGUUUGUACUUGUUUCUGUUGCUUCCUGGAUGUGUCACUAGUUAUGCUGUACCAUGUGGUCAUUGGUUGUAUCAGAAUGAACUUGCAACCUGGUUCUGGUUUUGAGCAAACAGUUGUGUAAUGGGCUGAAGCAAUAGCAAAAGAGAAAAGUGAGUUUCAAACA